rnacentral:rRNA from 1 species
GCGUAAUGAUGGCCAGGCUGUCUCCACCCGAGACUCAGUGAAAUUGAACUCGCUGUGAAGAUGCAGUGUACCCGCGGCAAGACGGAAAGACCCCGUGAACCUUUACUAUAGCUUGACACUGAACAUUGAGCCUUGAUGUGUAGGAUAGGUGGGAGGCUUUGAAGCGUGGACGCCAGUCUGCGUGGAGCCGACCUUGAAAUACCACCCUUUAAUGUUUGAUGUUCUAACGUGGACCCGUAAUCCGGGUUGCGGACAGUGUCUGGUGGGUAGUUUGACUGGGGCGGUCUCCUCCUAAAGAGUAACGGAGGAGCACGAAGGUUGGCUAAUCCUGGUCGGACAUCAGGAGGUUAGUGCAAUGGCAUAAGCCAGCUUGACUGCGAGCGUGACGGCGCGAGCAGGUGCGAAAGCAGGUCAUAGUGAUCCGGUGGUUCUGAAUGGAAGGGCCAUCGCUCAACGGAUAAAAGGUACUCCGGGGAUAACAGGCUGAUACCGCCCAAGAGUUCAUAUCGACGGCGGUGUUUGGCACCUCGAUGUCGGCUCAUCACAUCCUGGGGCUGAAGUAGGUCCCAAGGGUAUGGCUGUUCGCCAUUUAAAGUGGUACGCGAGCUGGGUUUAGAACGUCGUGAGACAGUUCGGUCCCUAUCUGCCGUGGGCGCUGGAGAACUGAGGGGGGCUGCUCCUAGUACGAGAGGACCGGAGUGGACGCAUCACUGGUGUUCGGGUUGUCAUGCCAAUGGCACUGCCCGGUAGCUAAAUGCGGAAGAGAUAAGUGCUGAAAGCAUCUAAGCACGAAACUUGCCCCGAGAUGAGUUCUCCCUGAGACUUAGAGUCUCCUGAAGGAACGUUGAAGACGACGACGUUGAUAGGCCGGGUGUGUAAGCGCAGCGAUGCGUUGAGCUAACCGGUACUAAUGAACCGUGAGG